rfam:Cavia porcellus supercont2_176 genomic scaffold, whole genome shotgun sequence.
GGGGAUUUAGCUUGGCGGCAUAAGCACCUGCCUUGCAAGCCGGCAGUCGUGAGUUCAAUCCCCG